rnacentral:ncRNA from 1 species
AAAGACUUAGUCCUAACCUUACCGUUAAUUUUUGCUAGACAUAUACAUGCAAGUAUCCGCGCUCCAGUGUGAAUGCCCUCAACACCUUGACAAGGUGCGAGGAGCGGGUAUCAGGCACACCCCCUAGAUUGUAGCCCAAGACACCUUGCUUAGCCACACCCCCACGGGUAUUCAGCAGUAAUUAACAUUAAGCAAUAAGUGUAAACUUGACUUAGUCAUAGCAACACCUAGGGUUGGUAAAUCUUGUGCCAGCCACCGCGGUCACACAAGAGACCCAAAUUAACAGUAGCACGGCGUAAAGAGUGGUAUCAUGUUAUCCUGAUAGAACUAAGAUCAAAAUGCAACUGAGCUGUCAUAAGCCUAGGAUGCACUUAAGACCACCCUAAAGACGGUCUUAGCCUUCAAGGAUCAAUUGCCCACCACGAAAGCUAGGGCACAAACUGGGAUUAGAUACCCCACUAUGCCUAGCCCUAAAUCUUGAUAUCUCCUACCACUAAGAUAUCCGCCUGAGAACUACGAGCACAAACGCUUGAAACUCUAAGGACUUGGCGGUGCCCUAAACCCACCUAGAGGAGCCUGUUCUACAACCGAUAACCCACGGAUAUACCCAACCACCUCUUGCCAGAGCAGCCUACAUACCGCCGUCGCCAGUCCACCUCCCCUGAGAGUUUAGCAGUGGACACAACAGCCCCAACAUCGCUAACAAGACAGGUCAAGGUAUAGCCCAUGAGGUGGAAGAAAUGGGCUACAUUUUCUAACAUAGAAAACUUCACGGAAGCGGACGUGAAAUCGUCUGCAGAAGGUGGAUUUAGCAGUAAAGAGAGAUAAUAGAGCUCUCUUUAAGCCGGCCCUAGGGCACGUACAUACCGCCCGUCACCCUCCUCACAAGCUAUGAACUUACAUAACUAAUACGCCAAUCAGCCGAAGAUGAGGUAAGUCGUAACAAGGUAAGUGUACCGGAAGGUGCACUUAGCAUAC